CUUGGAAAAUGGGUCAGGUACCAUCAUUACAGAGGAGGUUAAAAUUUGCUGCGAAACAAGCACAAACCUCUCAGUGCCCAACCAUACCUUGAGGUGCUACACUGAAGUGUUGAAUGAGGAACCCAGAAAAUCAACAACUACCAUCACUGGUGAGGGAAAUCAAGAUAAUCCUCAGUAUUUGGUCAGUGAAAAGAGCAACGUUGGCAUCAUCACCACAGUAACAGUUCUUGUGCUUUGUGCAGCAGCAGCUCUGGCAACAUGUUGUGUGCUACAGAAAAGAAACGGAACUGUCAUAGUGCUUCGUCAGACUUCAUGUGAAUGGAGUGAAAUAGCUGUCUUGAGAAGAUGAUUCAUCUCACCUUAAAAUGGUUUUAAGAUGAAACAGCUGUUAGAAGACUCGGGAGUGGCUUCUGACAGUUACAGCCUCACACCUAUUGGAAAAGCAUCCACAAAUGAGAAUAGCAGGUUUGGUGCUAGCAGCACACUUCUCAGUAGCAUCAUACAGCAUCCAGCUCAAGAAGCUCAUUUUGUGAGAGACCUCAUGGCAGUUUUCAUAAAUGUUCCGUCACCAAAUCCAUAUGUUCAGCGAAUACCCUUCAGCCACAGUUGUCCAGCUUCAGGCUUUCACAAGCAACACAAGAAGCUCCCUGGAUCUCCCAUCCCGUCCUGGUGCUUCGCUGAGGACAGCAGGUGCUGCAAGAUGUGUGCUGGGCUCAGCAGCCCAGGUGUAAACCCGCUGAAUUCUGUCAAUGGUUUGCAUGACUGAAAUGAUCAGUCCAUGUGAAAUUCUGCAGAGAACUGUAUCUGUGCUCAGGCAGGUUGUGCUGAACCUUGAGGCGGAUGCUCACUGCGUGUCUUCCAUUUCAUAAUGUGAUAGCACACCCAUAGGUCUUUAUUGUUUUUAACUCCCAGGUGAUUUCUAGAUCAAAAAAAGAACCUCUUACAAUCCCUGCAUCUGAAGACAGGUUUGGGUAUGCUGUGUGCAGGCAGUAUGUGAUGAAUGCUGCACUUCAGGGAUCCCCAUUUCGUAGUUGAAAUGAUUUAUCAUUCACACUUGGUUCAGUUAAGUCUCCAAAAGUUUAUUACACCUAACCUAGCUUCAGGCUUCUCCUGGGUUCAGCUGUAGCAGUUUUAUCUCCUUCCUAGUAGCAGGUGCAGUGCUGUGUUUUAGACUUUACCCUGAGAACAGCGCUGAUAACACACCGAUGUUUUAAGUUGUUCCUCAGUAAUGCUUACCCCGAUCAAGGACUUUUCAGUCUCAUGCUCUGCCAGUGAGGAGGGGCACAGGAAGCUGGGAGGUAGCAGAGCCAAGAGCCAGGACACCUGACCCAAAGCAGCCAAAGGGGUAUUCCAUAUCACAGCAAGCCAUGCCCAGUAUAGAAACUGGGGGGAGUCACCUGGAAGGCCCAGAUCACUGCUUGGGUCGGGCUGGGUAUCAGUCAGUGGAUGGUGAGCAAUUGCUUUCUCCUCCUUGUUAUUUCCCAUAUCAUUAUUACUGUUGGUGGUAGCAGUAGUGGGUUUGUGUUACACCUUAGUUACUGGACUGUUCUUAACCCAUGGGGUUUACAUUCUUUCCAUUCUCCUCCCCAUGCUGCCCAGAACUGGGGGGAAGGAGGAGAGGAGUGAGUGAGUGGCUGCAUGGUUCUGAGUUACCAGUCAAGCUUAAACCAUGACAAGGCUUUUGGGCAAAAAGGAGCAGCAGCACGACUGGAAAAGCAGGUCUGUGUAACAGUGUGAACACUUGUGGAAUCACUUUUACAUAGUUUAAUUACCCAUAAACCUGUAGCUGAAACUUCCAGCAGGAAAUCUCAAAGGAUGUGGGUUGUCAUGUGACUCUCGAAAUUUGCUAUGAUCAAAUCUAAAGGGAAAAGUUCAUAAUGAAAGACAUCCAAAAAUAUGUUAUUAAUUAAUGUCAGAAAUGCAGAAAAGCCUCUGUGCUUCAAUUUGUUUCUUGUUUGGCACAGCAGACGAGUGCUGUUAGGAGGUGGUUUUCCCUCCCCAGUGGAGGCUUUACACUCAUGCUGAUCUGAGAUACCCUUUUAACUCAGCUGUCAGCUUAUUUGUUGGAUUUUGUCUUUCUAGUUUUAAUGUGGUCGAAUGCAGGCAAAACAUCAUGAAGAGAUGGCAAUCCCCAGCUAUUCAAAGGCUUUUAGGUAUUUACUGAUUAUGUUUUGAUCCAGUUAAAAUAACGUCUUCAUGUUAUGUUAUUAUGUUCCAUCAUGAAGAAUGUGAUAGUAUAGUUAUUCAGUAAGCCAGAGCUAAGGUUGCCCAUAAAGAAUCCAGACUGUACAAGAGUUUAGAGGUAGAAGGAAAAGACUUUCCCUCUUUACACAGCAUCUU